UACAGAGGGUGCAAGCGUUGUUCGGAAUUACUGGGCGUAAAGCGCGUGUAGGCGGUUUUCCAAGUCUGAUGUGAAAGCCCUGGGCUCAACCCAGGAAGUGCGUCAGAUACUGGUUAACUGGAGUAACGGAGAGGAUGGCGGAAUACCCGGUGUAGAGGUGAAAUUCGUAGAUAUCGGGUGGAACACCUGUGGCGAAGGCGGCCAUCUGGACGUUCACUGACGCUGAGACGCGAAAGCAUGGGGAGCAAACAGG
rnacentral:rRNA from 1 species